GAUGAAGAACGUAGUGAAAUGCGAUAAGUAAUGUGAAUUGCAGAAUUCAGUGAAUCAUCGAAUCUUUGAACGCAUCUUGCGCUCCUUGGUAUUCUGAGGAGCAUGCCUGUUUGAGUGUCAUUAAAUUCUCAACUACACUGACUUUGAAUUGGUGUGGCUUGGAUUUGGGGGGGAAAAUUGUUGUGGGCUUUUUGUAUAGUCUGCUCCCCUGAAAUUGAUUAGCGGUACCUUUGUGGAACUGUCUACAGGUGUGAUAAUUAUCUACAUCCUAGACAUCUGCUGGAAUGCUGCUUUCUAAACCUUACUUGUAUUGACAAUCUUGACCUCAAAUCAGGUAGGACUACCCGCUGAACUUAAGCAUAUCAAUAAGCGGAGGA
rnacentral:misc_RNA from 1 species